rnacentral:lncRNA from 1 species
GCUUCUGAUGCAGGGUGUGCAGUCAUCAUUCGGAGUUUUUGAGGGGAAAACAGGCCAGAUGUUUUUCACGUAUGACCAAGUGGCUGUGGAAAAAAAGCGUUAUUACACAGCAGGAAAGCUCAUUUCUUGGUCUCUAAUGCACGGUGGACCUAGUUUCAAUGCACUAAAUACCACAUUGUACAAAUUAAUGUGUGGCAAGGCAGAUUCUGCCGAAGAAUUUGAUUGGCAGGACCUGCCAGAUGGGGAAAUUCAGGAUAAAGUGCGGCAGGUAUGCAUCUUCACACCGUUCAAACAGAAGGCAUUUAUGAUUUGUGAGAGUAAUGGAGUUUCUUUCUUUUAAGGUUUUUUUUUUGUCAGACCCAAGAAGACAAAGACCGAAUAGUGUCAAGCCUGGGAGACUGGAUUGCUGACUGUGGUGUGCCUGGAAUUUUCAGUGCAGCACCUAAUAUGAGACGGAUCUAUGGUCAGCUAAUCAAACACCACAUUUACUUCAGGUAUAAAACUCAAAAUAAUUUACAUUUUAAUCAGUCUACAGUUCUUUGAAUCAUGUUUUUUUUAAUGGCCUUCACUAAUAUUGGCAAAUAUGAGUAAAAUCCAGCUAUUUCAGAUCCCGGCUUGUGUUACUUCAUCUACUUCCAAAUGGUUUGGAAUGAAAGACAAAAAGGAUAAAUAGCUAAGACAAUUUUACAUGCUCAAAUUUACAACGGUAGACAAUUAUUGUGGAGGACACUUAAUUCAUAAAAAUGUUUUUUUUUUUUUUUUUUUUUAAAUAAAGUUUGGAAAUCUCUUGGAACAUAUUUAUUUUAGAACAGCAGACAUGAUCGCCCAAUUCAAGGAAGGCAUGAACUCCUGUAGCAACUUCUGGCAGAUUGUCGAAAAAAACUGGAAGGUCUUCCUUCCCUUGUUCACAAAUGAGGAGAAACAAUUAACAAGAGAUGAAUUUAGAGCCCUAUUCACCAUUUGCUGGAGUGAGGAGGGAAGCAAUCUCAGGGAAAAGGAGGAAGACACCAUAUUUUGCUGGGAGCUCCUGCUGAAUUCAAUUCAGGAAAAACAAUCAACAAUCACCUUCCAGGAGAUGCUGGUAUUUAUUACUGGGGCAGACAGCAUUCCCACACUGGGCUUCCCCGGAGAACCGAGAAUUGAGUUUUACACUCAAGAAAAUCGCCGGCUUCCAUUUGCAUCAACUUGUGGCAUGGUGCUCUUUUUGCCUCGAGGCAUCCAAGAAGAGGAAGAGUUGACUGAUCUGCUUAACACAGCACUCAAAGGUUACCUUGGAUUUGGAAAAAUGUAAUUUAGUUAAUUUCGUCAAAUGUUAAUUAAAGGGAUAGUUGACCCUUAAAAUAAUUUUCUGUCAUUAAUUACUCACCCUCAUGUUGUUCCAAACCCACCCAUAAAAGUUUUGUGAACC